UCCCUGGUGGCUCAGACGGUAAAGCGUCUGCCUACAAGGCAGGAGACCUGGGUUCAAUCCCUGGGUGAGGAA
rnacentral:tRNA from 1 species